rnacentral:lncRNA from 1 species
AAGCUACAGCUUUUUCCAGUGAUCAAAUAAAGGUAUCACCUGCCCUUACUUUUGUAUCAUGUAAGGCCCACAUAGCUUUAUCUGUGUUUUCAGAGCUGAUGGAGUUGCUCUGCUACUGUCUCACGCCACUGUAGCCUAAUGGAAUGGCUCCCGCCUGGUGCAAUCGAAAAGACCAACACUGAAAACAUGAUGCUGCUUCCCAUCUUUCAAUCCACAACUUGCUAAGAGUGUGAACUAUACUUACUGGUAGGACAGUGAGAUUACUGACUGUUCAUAUGAGGAGGAAGAGAUGGAUGCAAAUGUGAACAGAUGGAUGUAGACACACAGAAAUGCAGAGGAUGUACAAGAGUCCCUGAAGCCAUGCCUACAUUUACCAAAGGCAUACAGCAAAUACUUCUGACCAAGAGGAUAAACAAAUAAAUGUUAGCUUUCGUAACAAGGAACCCAUAACUCACUUUUCUAAAAUAGCAUUACAAAUCCCACAGAGUUUCAGAUUAUUUCAUGUGUCUGACACAGCCAUCUGAAAAAUAAAUUUUAAGAAAAGAGCA